CCUACGGGUGGCAGCAGUGAGGAAUAUUGGUCAAUGGACGAGAGUCUGAACCAGCCAAGUAGCGUGAAGGAUGACUGCCCUAUGGGUUGUAAACUUCUUUUAUAUGGGAAUAAAAUGUUCCACGUGUGGGAUUUUGUAUGUACCAUAUGAAUAAGGAACGGCUUACUCCGUGCCAGCAGCCGCGGUAAUACGGAGGAUCCGAUCGUUAUCCGGAUUUAUUGGGUUUAAAGGGAGCGUAGGUGGGUUGUUAAGUCAGUUGUGAAAUUUUGAGGCUCAACCGUAAAAUUGCAGUUGAAACUGGCAGUCUUGAGUAUAGUAGAGGUGGGCGGAAUUCGUGGUGUAGCGGUGAAAUGCUUAGAUAUCACGAAGAACUACGAUUGCGAAGGCAGCUCACUGGACUGCAACUGACACUGAGUCUCGAAAGUGUGGGUAUCAAACAGGAGUAGAUACCCCAGUAGGC
rnacentral:rRNA from 1 species